CAGUGUUGACAGAAAAAUGGAGUGGUACAUGGGCGGUUACCUAUACAUUCCCGGCUAUUGGUUUUAGUAUUGAUUAUACCGGUAAUAUUUAUGGGCCGAUGCGUUUGCCUUUAUUGUCGGAUAAAGAUCCGCGUCCUGCUUAUUCACCGGUAUGGAGCAUACAGAAUAUCCAAUUUACGAAACUGGUCAGCCA
rnacentral:misc_RNA from 1 species